AUACGUUGGGGGCGAGCGUUGUCCGGAAUGAUUGGGCGUAAAGGGCGCGUAGGCGGCGCGGUAAGUCUGGAGUGAAAGUCCUGCUUUCAAGGUGGGAAUUGCUUUGGAUACUGCCGCGCUUGAGUGCAGGAGAGGUUAUCGGAAUUCCCGGUGUAGCGGUGAAAUGCGUAGAGAUCGGGAGGAACACCAGUGGCGAAGGCGGGUAACUGGACUGCAACUGACGCUGAGGCGCGAAAGUGUGGGGAGCAAACAGGAUUAGAUACCCUGGUAGUCCACACUGUAAACGAUGAAUGCUAGGUGUAAGAGGUAUCGACCCCUUUUGUGCCGGAGUCAACACAAUAAGCAUUCCGCCUGGGGAGUACGGCCGCAAGGUUGAAACUCAAAUGAAUUGGCGGGG
rnacentral:rRNA from 1 species